rnacentral:lncRNA from 1 species
UUGAAACAUCAAAAUCUGGAAGCACUGACAAUAGCUCUGAAUUGCCAUUGAAGGAAGAUGUUGGGGAGACUUGGAAACCAAGUAAGGUUGACAAGACAUCAAUUACAAUUCCUGGAGAGGAUGAAGUUUCUCAACAAAAUAAUCCUGCAAAGAAAACUAGAGUUUGUGUGAGAGCAAGAUGUGACACCCUCACUGUAAUUAUCUCUACAUCUCUCAUGCUCUACAUUUAGAAUUUGGGUUCAUAAAAACUUUUAAUAGAAAAAGUUAUAUGUAUUUAUCACUUUGAUUUGUUAAAACAGAUGAAUGAUGGAUGCCAAUGGAGGAAAUAUGGACAGAAGAUUUCAAAGGGAAACCCUUGCCCUCGAGCUUACUAUCGUUGCACAGUUGCACCCUCUUGUCCUGUCAGAAAGCAGGUAAAUUUUGUAGACCUAGCAAAUUUUAGAAUUUGAAUCCUGUGGAGCAAGUUGUUCUCUGCAGUCAUGCAGCAGUAAUGCUACAUGUUUUUAUUUUAGAACAUAAUAUGACAUAGUAAGGGAAAAAAUGUACGGAACCCCUCAAAUUUUAAAGGAACACAGGGAAUUCACCUAUGAAAAUUACACCUAUUUUUUUAUUUAAAAUGUAUAGAAAAAAUAUUUUAUCAACUUAAGAUGAAGUUAUUUAACUCCUUGGAGUAAGUUAGCUUGAAAGCCUCACUUCAACAGUUUGAUCCUUAUGACCUGCGUUUUUUAGGGAGAUCUUGGGCAUUUACCGCCCUCAGCUAAGUUGAGUUAAGGUGAUUUGUGAGAGCAAUUUAAAAAAAAAAAAGUUACACAGCCCCACUAAAAAUAUAUCCAAAUAAAAUUUUAAAAUUGCGUGCUAAUACCUUUCUUAAACUUGUGAUUUUUAUGUGUAAUUGUGUUCCUCUAAGUUUUAUCAAUCUUUCUUAUGGAACAAGUAAUAUAGUGGAUUAACAUGCACUCUAUGCAACACCACAGGUGCAAAGAUGUGCUCAGGACAUGUCCAUUUUGAUCACCACCUACGAAGGGAACCACAACCACCCUCUUCCUCUUUCCGCCACCGCCAUGGCCUCCACCACUUCCGCCGCUGCCUCCAUGCUACUGUCCGGCUCAUCAACCUCCCACGCCGGAUCAACAACCGCAGAUCUUCAUGGAAUGAACUUUUGUCUUUCCGACGGAUCCAAAUCAAAGCAAUUUUACAUGUCUCAUCCUGCACUAUCACCUUCACCUUCACACCCCACCAUCACUCUUGACCUCACUACUUCCAAUAAUAAUCUACCUUUAUCCUCACUUCCUUUUGGUAGAUUCACUUCAAAUUUCAACAACCCCCCAAGAUACCCUUCUUCCACAAGUUUGAACUUCAGUAACUCAGAGUCCAAUGCAAUGUCUUGGAGCAAUGGCUUCCUCAGCUACAACACUUCUCUACCAUAUAACAACAACAACAUCCUUAGCAACCCUGGACGACAACAACAACAACAACCAAUGGAAAAUAACAUCUUGAAUUCUUACAUGCAAAGGAACAAUAACAAUGUUCCUACAGACACUAUUGCGGAGGCAACGAAAGCAAUCACAGCAGAUCCAACUUUUCAGUCAGCUUUGGCAGCAGCACUUACAUCAAUCAUUGGCAGUACUGGAUCAAGCACUACUACUCAAGGAUUAAACCAGAAUAAUGUUGGAGAGAUUUUGGGUAAGAAAAGGAAAUGGGAGGAGUUGUUUCCAUCAUCUUCUUCUACUUUACCAUUUUCUAUCCCCAAAAGCGCGUCUGCGUCUCCGGAUGAUAAUAGAGACUAGAUCCAGACUAUAGACAAAUUAAUCUGUGGGGUUUCUUUAGCUAGAUAGAAACUUCGCCUGCAAUUAUGUAAUUAUGUGAAAGAAUAAUUUUGAGAAUGGACACAUAAAUAAAGAUUGUUGUAUGUAAAGCUUGAUUUAGGGAUGAUAUCCUAUGAUGCAUGGGGUACUCAUUUUGUUGUUGUACCCACCCAGUAGCGGUACUCCUUGGAUACUUGAAAAUACGUGUCGGUAUAUUCCGAAAUAAUUUUUCAAACAAUAAAAAUUAGGUGCUACAUUGGUGCUUUUUAGGUACUUCUUGGUACAUAUUAACCAAAGCUAAAGUUUGUAUUAAGUUUUAAUACCUUUUAUGUAUCUGAUUACCGCCCGUUAAGUCUGAUAGGAAGCAUUUACAAGCUCAUCUCCAAAGUCUUGGCAUCUCAGCUUCAAGGUGUUAUGCCCUCAUCAUCUCCGAUAAUCAGUUCGCUUUUACCCAAGGGAGACAAAUUGCAGAUUGCAUACCCAUUGCAAAUGAGGUGGUAGAUGCUAUGAGGAAGAGUGAAGAGGGUGGAAUUGUUCUGAAACUAGACUUCGCUAAAGCCUAUGAUAAUAUAGAUUGGUCAUUAAUUCUUGUUGGAUCUACUGGUAGAAAUGGGGUUUGGGACAAAGUGGGUGAGAUAGAUGAAGGAAUGUGUGACGACGACAAAUCUAGCGGUGUUCGUAAAUGGUUCCCCCAAGGAUUUUUUAAAUAUUGAGAAAGGGCUUCAUCAAGGGGAUCCUCUUUCCCCGCUACUCUUCAACAUUUGCAUCAAUGGUCUCUCAUGUAUGCUGAAUAAAUUGGGAAGCAAUGAUACUCCAAGUGGAUUUCGCACUAUGCCUCAACCAUUUACAAUUUGCGGACGAUACCCUUAUCUUCUGCAGAAAUAAUGUUGAUCAAGUCUAGAAAAUUGGGGUUGCCCUAGAUAUUUUCUUAGCUAUUUCGGGUCUUAAGGUGAAUUAUUCCAAAUCUCAAAUUCUGGGUUGCAAAGUGAGUCAGGAGGAGUUCAGGAACUUGGUAGAUUUGCUUGAUGUAAGUGUGGGGACUUUGCCCAUCAAUUACCUCGGUGCUGCCUUGGGGGACAAUCCGAGGAGAAAAGUUUGGCAAAGAUAGAGAUGCUAUUUGGAGACGAGUGGUAUGUGCAAAAUAUAAUUGUGAUCCAAAUUUGCUGUUGUUACAUGUGAUGACUUUUACCACUUCACACUUCUCUGUGUAUAUCCAAGACAUUUUCAAAACUGUGAGGAAGACUCUAUUAUAGCAAAAGUUUUCAAAGAAGGUUGCUUUUGUUGUGUUGGAUCGGGCCAUAACAUCCGUUUUUAGCUUGACCCUUGGCUGGAAAUGACUCCCCUCUAUUCCAGAUUUCCCCGUUUUUUUCCCAUAGCACAAGACAAAAAUGUGGUCAUUUCUUCCUUUGGAACCUACAACAAUGGAUCUUAGUCAUGGUUGAUUAAUUUCCGGCGUCGGCUCUUUGAUUGGGAAACAGAAUUACUAAGACAGCUCAAGGUUGCCCUCAAUUCAAUCAUCCCCUGCAAAGGUUCAUAUUCAAUUAUUUGGACGGGGGAUCCAAAUGGCCGGUUUUCAGUUAAAAUCUUAUGUGCAGUUGUAGAGAUUAGGAUUUUUGGAGAGUUGUCAUGGAAGGUUCCAAAGAAGAUUCGCACAAUUGCACCCCCCAAAGUCGUGUUAUUUGUGUGGCAAUUAUUGGAAAACCGAAUAGCAGUAAAGGGAAACCUGAUCAAAAGAGGUGUUGUGAUUGAAAAUGGAGGAACCUGUGACAUUUUUGGAUUUCAGGAAGAAAUUGAAGCUCAUCUAAUGCUCCGGUGUAUGCAAUCAUGGAGAUUGUGGUGCUCAAUAAUGGCUAGAGAGGAUAUAGUCUGGUGUAUUCCUCACUCUUUCAAAGAAUUGAUGGAUGAAUGGCCCUAUCUAAGGGUUGGCUCAGAUCCUCUUCUCUGGGACCUAAUUUCGUAUGUGUUGAGCUGGUCAAUUUGGCAUGCCCGAAACGAUACCAUUUUCAACCAACAAGUGUUUUCUUUUGAAGGUGUAUGAGAUAUUCAUAUCAUGCGGGUCAUGUGGUGGAUCAAAGCUUGGUGAAAGAAGUGUCCCUUUUCCUCUUUUUAUUUUGCCCAACAUUUUAAAAAGGUUCGGCUUAAAUCCAAUGCCCCCAAGGUGUGAGCUGUUGAUUUGUGUCCACUGCAAUUGGGUAUGAUCAAGUUUAAUGUUGAUGGCUCAUCCCGAGGUAAUCCGGGUGUUAGUGGUAUUGGGGGCACUUUGCGGGAUGCAAAUGGAAUUAGUCUUGGAUUUUUCUCCAAACCUUUGGGGUUGUCCUGGGCUUAUAUUGCAGAAAUAAAAGCAAUUUUGGAGGCAUUACUGUUCUGCAAAAGACAUGUGAUUGUGGAGAGUGACUCCACCUUAGCGGUGGGUUGGGUCAUGAACAGGUCUAAUAGGUCAUGGAAACUGUUUAAUGAUCUUAAUCAGAUUGAUAUGCUAAUGGAGGAGGUGGGGUGUUUCGGCGUUGUUCAUAUCUAUAGAGAAGCCAAUACCGUUGUCGAUCACCUGACAAAGAAUGGUUGUGACAGAUCUGAAGCACUUGUGAGCUUUACCUCCUGGUGUCUUAAUACCAAGUGUGUUGUGACAUUCAUGCCAGAGCUAAUUUCUUAUGUUUGCUUGCUUGAUUCAUGACCUCUGGCGGCCCCUUGUGUGCCUUCAACCUUGCUAUCGUUUUUUUUAAUUCUUUGUAGUUGUUCUUAUCUUUUGUUCCUUUUGUCUGUUAUUUUUUUUAGUUCCCUGGGCUAUGCCCGGCUUGUUGAACUUUUCCUCUCCUUGGAGUCUUUAUUCUCCUGGAGUUAUUAUCAAUAAUAUUUUCUUUUUCCAAAAAAUGUAUACAAGAAAUAUAGAAAAUGACAUGACAUUAGCACUAGAUCCUAAGUGAAGGAAACACUUUUCAAAAUAGAUUUUUUCCCGUUGUACAAAGUAUAAUAAAUUUUCUUAUGGAUCAUUCAAUUUAGGUAGGAGACCACUAACUAUCUCUGAGUGAUGAUUUUCAAUUUAUCCAUUAUCUCUAAAACCCUAUGAAACUCAUAAGCAUAGUCAUCAUGGCGUUCGGGAAAACUUACCCCGUGUAGUACUUGAGUCAGUAGAAACUCUUGCAAUACUAUUUGUCUAGCUUCCCCUUGGUGCUUUUUUCGUUACUCUCUCACUCCAAUCACGCCUUAUAUAUGGCGAAUGCUUUAUAUCUUCCUUUGAAUUUGGCUUUGUUUGUGAAGGAAAUUUGUCUUGUGCUAUUUGAGAGAGUAUGGUUGCUAUAUUAGCCAUCUGAGUCUCCAAGGUUUUGAAUCUCUCUUUAGUUUUGUUUAUGUUUUGCAUCAAGAGAACCUAUAAGCUUGGACUCCAUUCCUCUUGCCCUUGGAUCUGAUUUUGCAUGUGAGGGGGCCUAUUGGGGUUCCUUGUGUUUGAGCCUUCUAUUGGUCUCCACUCCAAGAAAGGUUUAGAUGGUUUCUCCAUCCAGGAUUGUAAAUGUUGGAAUAUGGGUCUGCGUGACUCUUCUAAGUACCCACAAAAUUAG